rnacentral:rRNA from 1 species
GACGAACGCUGGCGGCGUGCUUAACACAUGCAAGUCGAACGGUGAUGCUCCAGCUUGCUGGAGUGGAUCAGUGGCGAACGGGUGAGUAACACGUGAGCAACCUGCCCCAGACUCUGGAAUAAGCGCUGGAAACGGCGUCUAAUACUGGAUACGAAACUGGCCCGCAUGGGCGGGGUUUGGAAAGUUUGUCGGUUUGGGAUGGGCUCGCGGCCUAUCAGCUUGUUGGUGGGGUAAUGGCUCACCAAGGCGACGACGGGUAGCCGGCCUGAGAGGGCGACCGGCCACACUGGGACUGAGACACGGCCCAGACUCCUACGGGAGGCAGCAGUGGGGAAUAUUGCACAAUGGGCGAAAGCCUGAUGCAGCGACGCCGCGUGAGGGAUGACGGCCUUCGGGUUGUAAACCUCUUUCAGCAGGGAAGAAGCGAAAGUGACGGUACCUGCAGAAGAAGCACCGGCUAACUACGUG